CCUACGGGAGGCAGCAGUGAGGAAUAUUGGUCAAUGGACGAGAGUCUGAACCAGCCAAGUAGCGUGAAGGAUGACUGCCCUAUGGGUUGUAAACUUCUUUUAUAAAGGAAUAAAACGAGGCACGUGUGCCUUUUUGCAUGUACUUUAUGUAUAAGGAUCGGCUAACUCCGUGCCAGCAGCCGCGGUAAUACGGUGGGUCCGAGCGUUAUCCGGAUUUAUUUGGUUUAAAGGGAGCGUAGAUGGGUUGUUAAGUCAGUUGUGAAAGUUUGCGGCUCAACCGGAGAAGUGCAAUUGAUACUGGCAGUCUUGAGUACAGAUGAGGUAGGCGGAAUUCGUGGUGUAGCGGUGAAAUGCGUAGAUAUCACGAAGAACCCCGAUUGCGAAGGCAGCUUACUAAUCUGUAACUGACACUGAUGCUCGAAAGUGUGGGUAUCAAACAGGAUUAGAUACCCCUGUAGUC
rnacentral:rRNA from 1 species